GCGCCCGUAGCUCAGCCAGGAUAGAGCACUGGCCUCCGGAGCCAGGGGUCGCAGGUUCAAAUCCUGCCGGGCGCGCCA
rnacentral:tRNA from 1 species